GUACGCUGGCGGCACGCCUUAUACAUGCAAGUCGAACGAAGUAGCAAUACUUAGUGGCAGACGGGUGAGUAACAUGUAGGUAUCUUCCCUUUGGUGAGGAAUAACACGAGGAAACUUGUGCUAAUACCUCAUAAGUCUUUACAGAGAAAGCUUUAUGCGCCGAAGGAUGAGCCUGCACUUGAUUAGUUUGUUGGUGGGGUAAUGGCUUACCAAGACUUUGAUCAAUAGCUGAUCUGAGAGGAUGAUCAGCCACAUUGGGACUGAGACACGGCCCAAACUCCUACGGGAGGCAGCAGUAGGGAAUAUUGCACAAUGGAGGAAACUCUGAUGCAGCGAUGCCGCGUGAGUGAAGAAGGCCUUUGGGUUGUAAAGCUCUUUCGUCGGGGAAGAAAAUGACUGUACCCGAAUAAGAAGGUCCGGCUAACU
rnacentral:rRNA from 1 species